rnacentral:rRNA from 1 species
AACGAACGCUGGCGGUAUGCUUAACACAUGCAAGUCGAACGGAUAUUUAUGAAGCUUGCUUUAUAAAUAUUAGUGGCAAACGGGUGAGUAACACGUGGGAAUCUACCUAUCAGUACGGAAUAACAUUUGGAAACAAAUGCUAAUACCGUAUAUUCUCUUCGGAGGAAAGAUUUAUCGCUGAUAGAUGAGCCCGCGCAAGAUUAGGUAGUUGGUAGGGUAAAGGCCUACCAAGCCGACGAUCUUUAGCUGAUUUGAGAGGAUGAUCAGCCACACUGGGACUGAGACACGGCCCAGACUCCUACGGGAGGCAGCAGUGGGGAAUAUUGGACAAUGGGCGAAAGCCUGAUCCAGCAAUACCGCGUGAAUGAUGAAGGCCUUAGGGUUGUAAAGUUCUUUUAGUAGGGAAGAUAAUGACGGUACCUACAGAAAAAGCCCCGGCUAACUCCGUG